GAAGUUUUAGUUAAUAAAUAACAUUAAUUUGUCAAGUUAAAAUAACUAGUUAGUAAGCUUCU
rnacentral:tRNA from 1 species